CGGGCGAUACAGCGACAUCAUGAUUGACAUCAUUAGUGACAUCAUGAGCUAGAGUAACUCACGCCACGUUGCAACUCACGCCACGUUGCCACGUUGCAACCGUAUUUUCAAUUUUUUGCUAGAGUAACUCACGCCACGUUGCAACCGUAUUUUCAAUUUUUUGCUAGAGUAACUCACGCCACGUUGCAACCGUUUUUUCAAUUUUUUUUUAUUUUUCAAUUAGGUAAUAACUUUUUUUCCCGCCUCACUUCCAAGUAGCCUACUAGC
rnacentral:lncRNA from 1 species